rnacentral:rRNA from 1 species
CCUACGGGCGGCAGCAGUGGGGAAUAUUGGACAAUGGGGGGAACCCUGAUCCAGCCAUGCCGCGUGUGUGAAGAAGGCCUUUUGGUUGUAAAGCACUUUAAGCGAGGAGGAGGCUACCGAGAUUAAUACUCUUGGAUAGUGGACGUUACUCGCAGAAUAAGCACCGGCUAACUCUGUGCCAGCAGCCGCGGUAAUACAGAGGGUGCAAGCGUUAAUCGGAUUUACUGGGCGUAAAGCGCGCGUAGGUGGCCAAUUAAGUCAAAUGUGAAAUCCCCGAGCUUAACUUGGGAAUUGCAUUCGAUACUGGUUGGCUAGAGUAUGGGAGAGGAUGGUAGAAUUCCAGGUGUAGCGGUGAAAUGCGUAGAGAUCUGGAGGAAUACCGAUGGCGAAGGCAGCCAUCUGGCCUAAUACUGACACUGAGGUG